AACGAACGCUGGCGGCAUGCCUAACACAUGCAAGUCGAACGGGAUCCGAGCUUCGGUUCGGUGAGAGUGGCGGACGGGUGAGUAACGCGUGGGAACCUGCCCAGUGGUGGGGGAUAACUGCGGGAAACUGCAGCUAAUACCGCAUGAGCCCGAGAGGGGAAAGAUUUAUCGCCAUUGGAGGGGCCCGCGUUCGAUUAGGUAGUUGGUGAGGUAACGGCUCACCAAGCCGACGAUCGAUAGCUGGUCUGAGAGGAUGAUCAGCCACACUGGGACUGAGAUACGGCCCAGACUCCUACGGGAGGCAGCAGUGGGGGAAUAUUGGACAAUGGGGGGCAACCCUGAUCCAGCAAUGCCGCGUGAGUGAUGAAGGCCUCGGGUUGGUAAAGACGUCUUUUGUCCAGGAGAAACGGUUGUGGCUAAUAUCCAUGGCUAAUGACGGUACC
rnacentral:rRNA from 1 species